rnacentral:rRNA from 1 species
CAGUCGCCGCGGUAAAACGUAGGUGGCAAGCGUUGUCCGGAAUUAUUGGGCGUAAAGGGCUCGCAGGCGGUUUCUUAAGUCUGAUGUGAAAGCCCCCGGCUCAACCGGGGAGGGUCAUUGGAAACUGGGAAACUUGAGUGCAGAAGAGGAGAGUGGAAUUCCACGUGUAGCGGUGAAAUGCGUAGAGAUGUGGAGGAACACCAGUGGCGAAGGCGACUCUCUGGUCUGUAACUGACGCUGAGGAGCGAAAGCGUGGAGAGCGAACAGGAUUAGAUACCCCAGUAGUCCCUGUCUCUUAUAC